CAAAUUAUAGUUUAAUUAAAACAUUUUAUUUACAUUAAAAAAAUAUCAAUUUGGUUAGUUUGA
rnacentral:tRNA from 1 species